AUACGUAGCGGGCGAGCGUUGUCCGGAAUGAUUGGGCGUAAAGGGCGCGUAGGCGGCGCGGUAAGUCUGGAGUGAAAGUCCUGCUUUCAAGGUGGGAAUUACUUUGGAUACUGCCGCGCUUGAGUGCAGGAGAGGUUAUCGGAAUUCCCGGUGUAGCGGUGAAAUGCGUAGAGAUCGGGAGGAACACCAGUGGCGAAGGCGGGUAACUGGACUGCAACUGACUCUGAGGCGCGAAAGUGUGGGGAGCAAACAGGAUUAGAUACCCUGGUAGUCCACACUGUAAACGAUGAAUGCUAGGUGUAAGAGGUAUCGACCCCUUUUGUGCCGGAGUCAACACAAUAAGCAUUCCGCCUGGGGAGUACGGCCGCAAGGUUGAAACUCAAAGGAAUUGACGGGG
rnacentral:rRNA from 1 species